AUGUUAAGAAGUAACAUGAAAUUACUGACUUUAUUAGAGUGGUAGUAAUGUCGUCUUUUCUUCAGACACUGUCUGUAGAUGGAAAAGGGACUACAUCAUCAGACUGAUUCAGUUCUACAAGUUCAAAAUUGAGGACUCUGCUGAACAUUGAGGAAAAAUACCGUAUUGGGAGAAGAUGGCAAGAGUCUGAUUCAAACUUCCAGUCUACCCUUAAAGAUGUGGACCGUGAGCUCAGAGUCCAACUGUAAGGCUAGAACUGAAUCAAGGGAGAGAGCAGUCGUCCUCCACCUGAGAAGAAUAUAUCCAGCUUUGCUUCAGAUGGGCAGGCCAUUGCCAUUAGACUCUCCAAGCAGGUAGCCAAUUGAUUUUCAGGAAUCAUGUGAUCCCUCUUGGCAUGUCUACUUCUGCUUUAAUGACACUAUUGAAGAAGAUGAUGUUUCGAGGAGUCUAAAAAGGCGAGGGAUUGAUGCC